rnacentral:rRNA from 1 species
AUUGAACGCUGGCGGCAUGCUUUACACAUGCAAGUCGAACGGCAGCGCGGGGCAACCUGGCGGCGAGUGGCGAACGGGUGAGUAAUAUAUCGGAACGUACCCAGAAGUGGGGGAUAACGUAGCGAAAGUUACGCUAAUACCGCAUACGAUCUACGGAUGAAAGUAGGGGACCGCAAGGCCUUAUGCUUUUGGAGCGGCCGAUAUCUGAUUAGCUAGUUGGUGAGGUAGAGGCUCACCAAGGCGACGAUCAGUAGCUGGUCUGAGAGGACGACCAGCCACACUGGAACUGAGACACGGUCCAGACUCCUACGGGAGGCAGCAGUGGGGAAUUUUGGACAAUGGGCGCAAGCCUGAUCCAGCAAUGCCGCGUGAGUGAAGAAGGCCUUCGGGUUGUAAAGCUCUUUUGUCAGGGAAGAAACGGUAGAGGCUAAUAUCCUUUGCUAAUGACGGUACCUGAAGAAUAAGCACCGGCUAACUACGUG